UCUUAUUUUACUCGGAAACAAGGGGAAGGGCAAACAAACAGCUUGAGAAAUUGGUUGUAUGUAAAACUUUCUAACUAACAUGGCGGAGGCGUUAAACAGAACGGAGCGAGAAUUUCUAUUGAAUUGUGGGAUAUGCGGAGGAAGGUUGACGGAUCCGCGUAUUUUAGACUGCCUGCACUCUUUCUGUAAAGAAUGUCUUGUUAUUAAACAGGAACAAGCUACAAAAAAAGAUGUCGUUAUUUGCGAACUUUGCGGAACUCACACAUGUUUGUUCAAUGAUUCUAUUGACUCCCUGACGACCAACAUCUUUGUAAUGAACAUAGGAAGAGUGGAGGAGAUCACCAACUCCAACUGCAGUUUUUAUUGUACUUUCUGUGAAGACCAGGGUGACUCGGAAGAGGCACCACCGUCACCAAGCGUCACAAGGUGGUUACGCUUGACGAUGUAAGAGUAGACCCCCAACACAGGCCAGAGCUCCGAAAACUAUAUGAGUCAAAAUGCAUUUCUCACGAUGAAAAAUUACGAAAAUUUUGUUCAAAGUGCGAAACACCUGUAUGUUCUGAAUGCGAACAUUCCGACCACAAAAAACAUACAGUUAUACCUCUGGAAGAUGUUGUUGAAGAGGUACAGGACAAUUUGUCUAAUGCACUUGAAAUGUACGAAGUUAUAGAAGAAUGUGAUAUCGAACCCGAUAUGCAGAUGGCUAAGAGAUUUCAGGAGGUGACAAACAAAGAGAAAACUCUUCUGCAGAUUGUCCACAGUGCUCGUGAACGUCUGAUUCAAGAAAUACAACAGCAAGCAACUGCUGCAGAAUUAGCCAUAUCUCAGCCAUUUGAGGCUGUGAAAAUGCUCUUAUCAGAAUCGAUGGAAUUAGAAAAGAAACGUUCCGAAAGCACACAGAAAUCGCGACUGUUCUGUGAAAAGCUUCAACAAGAGGGCCUAAAAGGAGAGAGCGUCCAUUUUAGAGAUUUGCUUCAGAGAGUAAAAAAGGGCGACCGUAAAAGAGCGCAACUUGAAUUUCCGCCUGAAAUAAACGUUAACGUUAAUGAGUUGUCUUUCCCCAAACUUUUCAGUGUGUCGGUGUCUGAACCUGUUAGUCCAGUGGAGAUUCCCAGAGUUAGGAGUCCUGUUUAAUAAUAACACAAACUUUUGUCUUUUCUACAUUCUUAUUUAACAACCCAUCACCUGAAAGCUAGGUUUUAGUUCCAACGUGAGUUCAUAAUUAAUUCUUUUACAUGUGAUAAAAUUGGCGAAAGUUGGGACAAACUACUCAUGUAGGGGAUGUGGCCCAGUAACAAUGAGAGACAUUUUUUUUUAUUUAAUGGUCUUACCAUCAAACAUUAACAAUUAUGCAUGUAAUCAAUACGGUUUUCCAACGUUUUUUUAACUUAAUAUUUAUUGCUUAUCGUUUAAAUUAGAAAAAGCAAGGAUUGUUUAGUUAAUUAUCAUUUGAAUAUUCCUUUACUCUGACAUUUUUGACAAUGUUCUUGAGUCAUGGCUCGAUAUUAAAGACUGGCUAUUAUUGUAAAUGGCUAUUUUCAUGAAAUAGUAAUGUAAAAUGCUAUUGUGUCUGUUUUACAAGAAAAAAUUAACAAGAAAUAAAAUAUCUUGAUAUACUG
rnacentral:misc_RNA from 1 species